AACAGCUGACACUCCAGGCCAGGUUUCAGCAGCAGCUGAGCUUCCUACUCAGCACCAGCAUGAGUUUGCAAGCUUAUCCCCCUCUCAGUGGGUAUAUGUGAAAACAGUGACCCCCUCCUGUGGGAAGGGGAGUAAAAACAGCCUGUCCGCCUCCCAGCAGGGGGGAAGGGUGAAAGCAGUACAAACCUCAGCGCUGAUCCUGCUCUGGUGUCUCUGGCUGCCUUGGGCUGGCAGCCCCAGCGUCUUGCUGGGACUGCUCUGCAACUGGGACAGGAGAGAAGAUGAAAGGUGCCUUACUGAUGUGCGGGAGCCCGAAGCCAGGCUGAAUCCGGACAAUAGGGAAACCUCCAUAAUCACCAUGUUGGAAGUG